rnacentral:rRNA from 1 species
GAUCAUGGCUCAGGACGAACGCUGGCGGCGUGCCUAACACAUGCGAGUCGAACGGAGAUGUUUAUUUCGGUAGAUAUCUUAGUGGCGCACGGGUGAGUAACGCGUGAAUAACCUGACCCGAAGAGGGGGAUAACACCUGGAAACAAGUGCUAAUACCGCAUAAGACCACGGACCGGCAUCGGUCAGAGGUCAAAAGGGAGGAAUCCGCUUUGGGAGGGGUUCGCGUCCCAUUUAGGUAGUUGGUGAGGUAACGGCCCCACCAAG